AUAUAUAUAUAUAUAAUUGAGCUUCUAUAUUUUUAAAAGUACUAAGUUAUUGGUGCUUGUAGAUUUAAUUUUGACAAUUGGAUUAAAAGAUGUGUGGUUAGAAUGAUGUGAGACUCCUAAUAGGAUUCAGUGGGUGGUUGGUUGAAUAGUAUGAUCUAAUUAACGAAUGAAAAUGAUCAAAAAUAGAGAUUUAACGGUAAAAAAUUUACAAGUACCAAAGACUUGGUGCUUUUAUAAGCACCAUAACCAGUCUCUCUCUCUCUCUCUCACUCUCUAUAAAUAUUGCACACACUAUACUAUAGAUUGUAGGGGAGCUUUGCUUAAUUACCACCUUUUUUUUAAUCCAUGGAUCAAAUAUUAUUCUGCAUUGUUAUUAGUAUUAAGUUAAGUUUUUUUUUUUUUUUUUUUUUUUUUGUCAUAUGAAGUUGGAGUUGAAGUUGAUGUUGGUGGUGGCCAGUUGUGAAGUGGUGUUGCUUGUGGAUCGUAAGAUGUUAGGUUUAUUGUUGGAUCUCUUAUUGUUAGAUCUCUUAUAGAUCACAGCACUAUUCAAUUUAUUAUGCGCAUCCAACUCAAUUUAUUAGUUUUCUGAGCCUAUUGUUACGGGAUAAAAAGUUGGACUUAUUUUAGCCUAAUAAUAAAUAGCUAAACUCUCCCCUCAACACAUGUACUGUUAAUGCAGCAUGUGGGAAUCAAACUCGUACCACUGACUCUGAUAGUACUUGCAGUAGUAAGCGUUAACCAACUAUUUCAAAAGUACGUGCUGAUAGGAAGGAUACAUCCAUUGCACUUACGAGCUCAAUCACAAUGCUCACGAAUUUCGACUUAACUCAAAUUACUCAACCCACAUGAAUGUUAAGUCUAUUUUUGGGUCUCUUGUCGGUAGGUCUCUUGUGGACCGCAAUUCUACUCAACUUAUUAGUCUUCUGAAUCUAUUAUUACGGGACAAAAAGUUGGACCUAUUCUGAUCUAAUAUUAAAUAGCCAACAUUAUUGUGGCAUGC
rnacentral:lncRNA from 1 species